GACGAACGCUGGCGGCGUGCUUAACACAUGCAAGUCGAACGGAAAGGCCCUGCUUGCAGCGUACUCGAGUGGCGAACGGGUGAGUAACACGUGGGUGAUCUGCCCUGCACUUCGGGAUAAGCCUGGGAAACUGGGUCUAAUACCGGACAGGAGCCAGUUUCAGGGUGAUGGUUGGAAAGUUUUUUUCGGGGUAGGAUGAGCUCGCGGCCUAUCAGCUUGUUGGUGGGGUGAUGGCCUACCAAGGCGGCGAGGGGUAGCCGGCCUGGGAGGGUGGACGGCCACAUUGGGACUGAGAUGCGGCCCAGACUCCGACGGGAGGAAGCAGUGGGGAAGAUUGCACAAUGGGCGCAAGCCUGAUGCAGCGACGCCGCGGGGGGGAUGACGGCCUUCGGGUUGAAAACGCCUUUCGCUAGAGACGAAGCUUUUUGUGACGGUACCUAGAGAAGAAGCACCGGCUAACUACGUG
rnacentral:rRNA from 1 species